rnacentral:rRNA from 1 species
ACGGGUGAGUAACGCGUGGGAAUCUACCCAGCUCUACGGAAUAACCCAGGGAAACUUGGACUAAUACCGUAUACGUCCGAUAGGAGAAAGAUUUAUCGGAGUUGGAUGAGCCCGCGUUGGAUUAGCUAGUUGGUGGGGUAAAGGCCUACCAAGGCGACGAUCCAUAGCUGGUCUGAGAGGAUGAUCAGCCACACUGGGACUGAGACACGGCCCAGACUCCUACGGGAGGCAGCAGUGGGGAAUAUUGGACAAUGGGCGCAAGCCUGAUCCAGCCAUGCCGCGUGAGUGAUAAGGCCCUAUGGUUGUAAAGCUCUUUCACCGGUGAAGAUAAUGACGGUAACCGGAGAAGAAGCCCCGGCUAACUUCGUGCCAGCAGCCGCGGUAAUACGAAGGGGGCAAGCCGUUGUUCGGAAUUACUGGGCGUAAAGCGCACGUAGGCGGACUAUUAAGUCAGGGGUGAAAUCCCGGGGCUCAACCCCGGAACUGCCUUUGAUACUGGUAGUCUAGAGUCCGGAAGAGGUGAGUGGAAUUCCGAGUGUAGAGGUGAAAUUCGUAGA